UAAGCGUGUGAUGAAAUCUUGUGGCUCAACCAUGAGACUAUUACGCGAACUGUAAAGCUAGAAUAUAUGAGGGGUACCUAGAAUUCCCGGUGUAGGAGUGGAAUCCGUAGAUAUCGGGAGGAAUACCAAUGGCGUAGGCAGGGUACUGGCAUAUUAUUGACGCUAAGGCACGAAAGCGUGGGGAGCGAACGGGAUUAGAUACCCCGGUAGUCCACGCCGUAAACGAUGGAUGCUA
rnacentral:rRNA from 1 species